rnacentral:rRNA from 1 species
CCUACGGGUGGCUGCAGUGAGGAAUAGUGGUCAAGGGACGGAAGUCUGAACCAGCCAUGCCGCGUGCAGGAAGACGGCGCUAUGAGUUGUAAACUGCUGUUGUACAAGGGUAAACCGGAAUACGUGUAUGCAGCUGAAAGUACUGUACGAAUAAGGAUCGGCUAACUCCGUGCCAGCAGCCGCUGUAAUACGGAGGAUCCAAGCGUUAUCCGGAUUUAUUGGGUUGAAAGGGUGCGUAGGCGGAUUGAUAAGUUAGAGGUGAAAUGUCAGCUCUUAACUCGGGAACUGCCUCUAAUACUUUUGAUCUAGAGCGUAGAUGCGUUAGGCUGAAUUUAUGGUGUAUCGG